rnacentral:rRNA from 1 species
UGGUGGAGUGAUUUGUCUGCUUAAUUGCGAUAACGAACGAGACCUUAACCUGCUGAAUAGCCCGUAUUGCUUUGGCAGUACGCUGGCUUCUUAGAGGGACUAUCGGCUCAAGCCGAUGGAAGUUUGAGGCAAUAACA